ACUCAAAUGAAUAGACGGGGGCCCGCACAAGCGGUGGAGCAUGUUGCUUAAUUCGAGGCAACGCGAAGAACCUUACCCAGGUUUGACAUGCGACGGACUUUCCGUGAAAGCGGGAUUCCCCUCGGGGCCGUCGCACAGAUGCUGCAUGGCUGUCGUCAGCUCGUGCCGUGAGGUGUUCGGUUAAGUCCGGCAACGAGCGCAACCCGUGCCGUCAGUUGCCAUCAGGUGAUGCUGGGGACUCUGGCGGGACCGCCCGUGUCAAGCGGGAGGAAGGCGCGGAUGACGUCAAGUCCGUAUGGCUCUUACGCCUGGGGCUGCAAACGUGCUACAAUGGCCGGUACAAAGGGGCGCCAUUCCGUGAGGCGGAGCGAAUCCUCAAAACCGGCCCCAGUUCGGAUCGCAGUCUGCAACUCGACUGCGUGAAGCCGGAAUCGCUAGUAAAGGGGCAUCAGCCACGGCUCCUUGAAUACGUUCCCGGGCCUUGCACACACCGCCCGU
rnacentral:rRNA from 1 species